GAUGAACGCUGGCGGCGUGCCUAAUACAUGCAAGUCGAGCGAAUGGAUUGAGAGCUUGCUCUCAAGAAGUUAGCGGCGGACGGGUGAGUAACACGUGGGUAACCUGCCCAUAAGACUGGGAUAACUCCGGGAAACCGGGGCUAAUACCGGAUAACAUUUUGAACUGCAUGGUUCGCAAUUGAAAGGCGGCUUCGGCUGUCACUUAUGGAUGGACCCGCGUCGCAUUAGCUAGUUGGUGAGGUAACGGCUCACCAAGGCAGCGAUGCGUAGCCGACCUGAGAGGGUGAUCGGCCACACUGGGACUGAGACACGGCCCAGACUCCUACGGGAGGCAGCAGUAGGGAAUCUUCCGCAAUGGACGAAAGUCUGACGGAGCAACGCCGCGUGAGUGAUGAAGGCUUUCGGGUCGUAAAACUCUGUUGUUAGGGAAGAACAAGUGCUAGUUGAAUAAGCUGGCACCUUGACGGUACCUAACCAGAAAGCCACGGCUAACUACGUGCCAGCCGCCGCCGUAACAC
rnacentral:rRNA from 1 species